AUGAUAGAGAUCAAACAUCCAUGGUGCUACGAUCUACAAUGUUGUGGAGAUGAGUCAAAUGGCGGUGAGACAGAGGUGAGAGGCGGAGCUGUGAUUAUUGAUCAAAGAAGAAUGUUUGAGGAGUUGAGAUCGCGCCAUUUGCGAAUAAGAGAGCCUGGGUCGUAUUAUCUGAAACGACAUAAUUGUGACCCUAUCCAAGAUCUAAAUCCAGC